rnacentral:rRNA from 1 species
UGGGGAAUAUUGGGCGAUGGGGGAAACCCUGACCCAGCAACGCCGCGUGAAGGAAGAAGGUUUUCGGAUUGUAAACUUCUGUCCUAAGGGAAGAAAGAAAUGACGGUACCUUAGGAGGAAGCCCCGGCCAACUACGUGCCAGCAGCCGCGGUAAUACGUAGGGGGCAAGCGUUGUCCGGAAUUAUUGGGCGUAAAGGGUGCGUAGGCGGCCGAUCAAGUCAGGUGUGAAAGACCCGUGCUUAACAUGGGGGUUGCACUUGAAACUGGUUGGCUUGAGUAUGGGAGAGGCAAGCGGAAUUCCCGGUGUAGCGGUGAAAUGCGUAGAGAUCGGGAGGAACACCAGUGGCGAAGGCGGCUUGCUGGACCAAAAGCUGACGCUGAGGCACGAAAGCGUGGGUAGCAAACAGGAUUAGAUACC